UACAAUAUAAUUUUAUAAGAAACCUGCUGCUGGAUUUGCGAUAAAGAUCGGAUCAGAAGUUGAAAUAAAUAAAUGAUUGUGGGCGAUGAUGGAGAUUUUAUUAUAAUAAAUAAUAGAUUUACGCUGAUUCAAAUCGCCUCCUUAUGUUACAGCUAAUUUAAAAUUCAUAAGGAUUACAAAAUAUCGGAUUGUAUAAUAGGAAAAUCGGUUCAUUCUCACUUUGGGAUAUUUAUGAUGUAUGACGAACAAUAAAGUUCUUCUUUUUCAUUUGAAUCACAUCCAAUUUGAAUUCAACCCAAGGCAAAACACCCACACACCUAUAUUUUCAGUUUUAAUCAAUAAAUCGAUUUCUUCAACAAUUAUUCGGGUGACUUGUAGAAUCAGAUAUUGAGAUACUCGUAAAAGUAACUGGACAUUUCAAUCCAUUUGCGGUGAUAUUUGUAAUGACAAUAAUAUUUUUACCCCCUCAGAAGCGCCGCGAGCUUAAUUCGCAAUGAAAAUGUCAAGGUUUCUCGCUUGUAGAGCACCGCGGAAACGCUAUAUAUACUAAAUUACAGGUAUAAUAAUGGAAAAAUUUAACUGAAAUAAGGGCAUGACUUUUCAGCGUCAGACAUUCCCUGGCGUACCGGAUCGCAUGCACCUGGAUGGAUAUGAUAUGGACAGGUAUUUAUGACGGAGACUAGGAUGGGCCUAACGUCAGUAUAAAUAUAUGAUGGAACAUGCGAAUCAUGCCUCAGAAUAAUCUUUUCAGUGUGUAGGAAGUUGUCGACAUUUCUCAUAUCUGCUUCACACUUCGCGCUAGUAUAACUCGACAUUCCUUUAUUAUAUUUUAUCAUGAUCUAUUGAUAUCUAUUAAUCAUAUUCUCAAUAGAAUUGAAAAUUUCAAACUUGCUGGAAUAUACCAAAGACCAUUAUAGAUGGAUCCGGCAUUAGAAUUUAUAUGUUAUACUGCAUAGCACACUUAUUAUGAGCAUACGUAUGCAAAUAAGCAAGUGUGAAAUUCAUACGCGAUGCACGCUGACAGUUGUUGAAGUAUAUAAGUUUCGCAACGAAUUAUGAUUGUCCAUUGUUAUUCGUUGGUGGAUCAGACUCGCCUACUCCUACAAUUUCAUAUCCAAUAUCUAUGUAUCUAUCAUGUAUCAAAAGUUUUAUCAGAAUCUUUAGGCCACUUUUGUUGUAACGUUCAAAUAUUAUAGAACCGCCUUUCGAGGGCCCCCAUUAUGCCGGUAUAAAUACACUAUAUGCCUACAAUUCGUGACUCACGAAUUCAUUUAUAUUUGAGUUUAUUAUUUCUAGUUGAAAAAAAAUCUUCAAAAAAACUCCAAUACGAUUAUUAUCUUACAACCACAAAAAACUACGAGGUAUAUAAUAAUGAAACAAAGGGGUGAACAAAAAAAAAACCCAAUUGUACAUCUUCCGCGUUGUUAUAACAGGUACUGUUAUAAUGGCUCUGUUUUUUUAUUUUGUAAAACUAGUCCUCUCCCAACAUUGAUCUUUUGAAAUUUUUCGGCCUAGCUGAGAUCAUCUAAGAUUGAUGAUCUUCCAAGAGUUGUGAUGUAACAAUUUUAUAACGCGAUGGCUGUUUCAUGCGUUCGAGAAUAUUACUUAAAAAUAUUAUUUUGACAGAACUUUAAUUCAAGAUUUUUUAUCAACGAACAAUUACUAUUCUAUGAUACGCCUUUCCAAACCAACGAGACACGCACGCAUUGUAAUUGAAAUUUGGAAAGAGAAAAAAAUUGCACACCUAUUGAAUCGAUCAUAUUCAAUUAAUCCGUAACAUGGUAUAAAAAUGUUACAGCAGACCACGAAACAUGAUGACGAUUAUAAUAAUUUUUUACUUGUUAUUUUUAGUUUUAUCGCAAUAUCAUCCGAUCCUUGAGGCGCGGCCGGCGUAGGUAUUCGUUUAUAACUUUGAAUAUUCCCAAAAUUAUCUAUUCGGUAAUAUAAUAAUACAAAGAGGUGGAAUAUAGUCGUAUGCUCAUGCAAACGGUGGAACCUGAUGUAAUUUUAACAACUGUCAUACAUAGUAAUGUAAUUAUUAUACAAAAGACGAACAUUCGUUUAACCGGAGAACAAUCCAUCAUACGCGCAUGUUACUCUAGGUAGUUAUGAGUUCACUGAGCUUGAUAAAAUACCUUGGUCAAGAUAUAACGCGUAAAAGGAAUUAUGAGAUGUAUUUUUUACACGGAUGUAUAAUUUUUCAUGCACGCUUCAAAGGUUACGCUUUUCGACCAUACUCCGGUACUGGAUGAAUAGUUAUAAAUAACUUGGGCAUAUUCUCCCAGUUUUACUUCACCGCAGAUUUCUGGGAUCCAGAUCCUAAUGCUUCGGGUCAACUCGUGGGUUAUUCAAGAAACGGGGGAGACAUACGUAAUAGAAGAAAAGAAAAAGUACCUGCCUAUAACCAUUGCCAUUGAGAAUAGAUAGGCUGUAACUGCGAUCCGAAAUCCUCCUUUUUUUUUUAUUAUUGCAUCGGUCAAUUUUCAGAUCGUCAAUUUUCUAAGACUACACAGUUGAAAAGAAUACAUUCUCGCAAGGUUGAAGGCUAUACCCCGAAACUUUUUUACGUGAAGUGCAUGUUUUGGGUCAAGACAUAGUGGAGAUCAAAUAAAGAUGUGGAACCGCAGCGCGAAGCAUGAAGCAUGAACGGGUCCUAGGAUCUGCUCAUCCCACGGUUGGAAUUCCGAGCGAAACGGAUUAGUAUUGGAACAAAAAAAGGAAGAGAAAAAAAAAAGGAAUGAACAUUCUGGAUACCAACCAAUAUUCAACUGCUGAUAUUUGUAGAAGAAUCAGGUUUUCUUGAUAUAUUAGUCCUUCUCGCCGAUGAUCGAGGUCCUCUUUGACCAACGCGUGCCUCGAGGUCGAAGGAUUUUAAAUAAUAAUUACGCGUAUAUAUAUAUUUAUUGACCUGUCCAUGGGACAUCCUAUUUCUCCCAAAGGGUAAUAAAAACGUUGCUGGAUCGACCGAUGUGACCGUAGAAGCUGCAUGCGAAUUUGGUGCGAUGUUGGAUAAUUUCUAUCAAUAUGAUGCAAUGAGAGGAUGCUGCAGAUGAUGGGCAUCACGUGAGAGAACCUGCGCUGCCCACCCUUGCACCUGAAAUUUGCAAAACACUUUUUUUUAUCAAUGUUCGCAAACACGUAUUCGUGCGAUCGUUAAUUUUCUCAAUACACCUAGAUCAACGCCGACGUUCGAAUGGCGAAAAAUUGGCAAGUAUAGAUGCCGAUAAUCGUCCACCGAAUGUUCGAAAUCUGUGGCUCGUUGCGAUACAUAUAAAUUGGCAUCCUAAAUUGGCGAUCGCUGCCAUAUAAAAUAUAAUAUUGAUCGAAAAGGCUGUACGAUCAUGUAGUCUCACACCUCACAGCGAUGCGAGUGACUUGUGCACGUAUGGGUAAAUAAUGACAUAGAAGAAAUAUGUACGCACACACACACACAAACAAACACACACAUGGAAUUCUGUGGUCAUUUUUUUCCCUUUUUUCUUUUUCAUAUUGCGUGAUCAGCGUCCUCUCGUAUUACGAAUUCAUUAUCAAAGUAUAUAAAUUAAUUAGCUUCAAAAAAUAUUUGACUUUUAACUAAUGCCAUGGAGCAUCUGUGUAUAUGUAUAUUGUAUAUAUGCAUAUACCUGAAAUACAUCCGGUUUGAUAAUUUAAGACAUGUAUUACAUACCAAAAAAUCUUACGUGGUAUAUAAAAUAUACGCGUGAAAAAUAAAAUUGUUUUGGCGUUACCGGUUCUUCUUUGUUUCCCGCAUGGCAUCAGCGUUUUCAAUAUUUGAACAAAAUAGGGAACACUGUGCCAUACAUAGAGAAAUACAUGAUCAACAUAUUGCAAAAUAAUAUAAAACUGAUGGUAAUACAAUAAGAACAAUUAUUGAGGACCUUCCCACCUCCGACGCUUUAUUCCGUUUGAUUAAUUUUGGUUUAUUUCUCACGCUAUUUAAAAAUUUAUAACUAUAAAUAAUAUCUAUCUAUGUAUGUAAUAUUACGGUGAAGAGGUUUGCCUUGCAAUUUGAAAACUUCACCGGAUACAUACGGUCACUGUAUAUAUACAUACGCCAUUUACAUAAUAUAUUAUCCAUAAAUAAUAAAUAUUCCAUGAAUCUUCUGGAAUACGUCUUUACGCUACGAUUACACUAUUACUACAGUUUUCGUCUUCACGUGACCAUCUAUUUUGAAAAAUUAAAAGUGACCAAACAAAACGAGAAUUAAAUUUAUUAAACAACAAAAGAAAAAGAUUCAAUGAACAACAUCGUUUUUCUACGACGUUAAAACGCAAUUCCAGAUAUAUUACCACAAGCCAUAUACUAUGCUAAAAUCAUGUAUACCAUACAUAAACCAUCCAUGCAGCGGCAACGUGAAAAAUGAUCAAGUAUAAAUCCGACCUACAUACACGCGAAAUAUUCACCAACACUUGUCGAAUAUAAAUACACGCCUCCGAAUGAAAAUAAUAUAGUGGUAAUAAUAAUAAGGAUAAUGAUAAUAAUCAUGUAUACGAUAUAAUUAAACUCGCGAAUUAUUUUACCCUUCUAACAUAUAAAUUAACGCGGUGGUACUGGUACGGAAAAAUUUUUGUCUUAUGGUGCAGCUCGGCAUGAAAAGCUGACAGGAUAAACUCUCGCAGCAAAUAACUCCUCAGCAGGCGGUUCUCCGGCUGCAAGUUAUCUAGUAAUUUUGCAUGUAGUCCGGGACAUUCGAAUAUUAUAAACGUUUCAAAGUUUUAUGAAAGAUCGCGGUUGGCACGUGCUCAUCAAUUUAUAAUGUUAUACACCCAUGUAGCUAAAUCUCGACUUAAUUAUGUAAUAAUCCUAACACGCGGUCCAGUCAUCUUAACUGCGGCCACAUGAAUAUCAUAAAUUAUAUUACAUACGUGCCUACAGAGAGACAUGUACCCGUAUGCUAAUUCAGGCGUAUCCACAGAAAAAAGGAAAUUAUUUAUGCAAAUAAAGAUUCAAUAACGCAAAGGUGAGAAGCUUCCUAAUUUCACACGAAGGGUCGUCGCGUACGGAUUCAAUACAAUUAUUUAUAGCUGGGUAAAACCGCACCCUUCUGUUAUUCACUCGAGCAAUUAAGUUUUUGGAAAUUAUCAUCAAAGUUAUCAUUGUUACAACGACAAUCGUAUAAACGAAACCGAAAAAGUGGAUUCUCUGGUUUAAUAUCGCGAGAACUUACGGAUUUAAAUAAUUUAUAACUCGAUGGAUUUCGUAGUAGGUAUGGAUCCUAGCUAGCACUAUGUCUUCUGGGCGUAUGCGGUGUGUAUGUGUUUCAUAAAUCGAUUUCAGUUUCAUGGAUUAAAAACGAAAGUGACGCUGCGACGGUGCUGAUCUCAGAAGGACGUAACACUUAAAAAGAGAAGAUUUUUCUCCUCUUGCUAUUUUUACAUCGGGUUUUUUCUUUUCGAUAUCUCGAAUACCUAAGUCGGAAUUUUGAUGGGCGGAGAAAUAUCCGGUUGGGAAAAUUGUGAUCAGACAUCACGAGGAAACGUAGGCAUCGGGUGACGGAAUAUUCCGGAGAGAAAAAAAAGAAUCUUUCUCUCUUAGGCUCGUCGAAAAUUUUCAAAUAAUUUCGGACACGUAUAUUUCACUUGAUUAUUAUACGGGUUAUGAUGUUAGGUGCUCCUUACUUUAUAUUUAUAUCGAGUUAUAUAAAGUCACGCGCACUCUACUUUUACACGAGAGAGAUGGAAAAAAAUGAAAAUGAGAGUCUUUUUUGAAACCUUCUGUGUAACGGCUGAAGAUAUCUAUUAUGCAAUGUAUGAAAUUUUUUUGAAUAUAAAUAUCAGUUAUAAAUCGUAUUCUUUCUUUUUUUUUUUUAAAUAUAUGAACCGAGUACCUUACGUUUUGGCCUCUUUAAUCAUGAAUAUUUCAUUCGAUUCUUGGUCAAUUAGCUGCAGAUGUUUCAUUUUCGAUAUGAUAUUACGCAUGUGACCUCUUCGAAUUUUUCGAACAGUGGCCGUUUCAUGAGUAACUUCGUAUAGGAAUAUAUGUGUUUGUAUGAAAAAUUAGCAUUUUCACGAGACCCGCACCUUUUCGAUGGUUUUUUUCCCUUCGUUUCGUGUUUUUUUUUUUUUUUUCAUCAUUCACACUUUGCGUAAUAAAGAAAUUUCGAUUCGGCAAUUUCCAUCUUUCAACGGAUCGAUCGGAUUACAUCGACCCGGUGUGCAGAAGCAGUAUUUUUACAUAAAAUGACAAUUUGACGAUGCGGAUCCUGCGUUAAUUAGACAAGUGUGUGAUGAAAAUGUUAUUACGGGUCAAAGACAAUAAAUGUACACUCGUCAUUUUAAAGUGAUUUAGGCGUUAAUUAUAUGUUUAUUGACAAGACUGACAUUAUCGUCACUUACGAGCCGCGCGUUGUUCAUUAAUUCUUUUCAUAAAUUACAAACAGACAACGCGGUUGAAUCACGAAUGACUGCAACUCCAAGUGUACACGAUAAUUGAUAAUUUCCUAUACAAUUAAAUUUCCCAAUGAUCGCACGCUGUCGUUUUUCAUAAAUAAAAAAAAAAAACAACAACGUACAACGAGUGAAAAAAGAGAAAAUAAGUCUGCAGUUUUCGUGUUAUCAGUGUAUGUUUCUUUUUGUUUUUUUAAUAUGUACAUAUAUAUAUUCAAUAUGUAAUUUAUCCAAACAUCGUCGUCAUCCUGUUAUCGUCGCGUGAUUCUAAUUUUUCAUGUUGCUUUCAUAGUAAGAUCGUCUAUUGCACGGGGCCUACGGGAUAAUAUAAAUGCGGCUGUUGUUUGGCGUAUACGGCAUCCCAAUACGCUUCUUCUUCCGGAUGAGCCGCGUUCCAUUCCAAA